CCUACGGGAGGCAGCAGUGGGGAAUUUUGGACAAUGGACGCAAGUCUGAUCCAGCCAUGCCGCGUGCGGGAAGAAGGCCUUCGGGUUGUAAACCGCUUUUGUCAGGGAAGAAACGAGUUUCUCUAAUACAGAGACUUAAUGACGGUACCUGAAGAAUAAGCACCGGCUAACUACGUGCCAGCAGCCGCGGUAAUACGUAGGGUGCAAGCGUUAAUCGGAAUUACUGGGCGUAAAGCGUGCGCAGGCGGUUAUGCAAGACAGAUGUGAAAUCCCCGGGCUCAACCUGGGAACUGCAUUUGUGACUGCAUGGCUAGAGUACGGUAGAGGGGGAUGGAAUUCCGCGUGUAGCAGUGAAAUGCGUAGAUAUGCGGAGGAACACCGAUGGCGAAGGCAAUCCCCUGGACCUGUACUGACGCUCAUGCACGAAAGCGUGGGGAGCAAACAGGAUUAGAUACCCUGGUAGUCCACGCCCUAAACGAUGUCAACUGGUUGUUGGGAGGGUUUCUUCUCAGUACGAAGCUAACGCGUGAAGUUGACCGCCGUGGGGAGUAACGGCCGCAAGGUUGAAACGUUAAAGGAAUUGGNGGCGNGNGAGNGCGAGGACGACGACGAGGGAGGAGG
rnacentral:rRNA from 1 species